rnacentral:tRNA from 1 species
GGGGAUGUAGCUCAGCGGUACAGCGCCUGUCUGGCAAGCACGAGGUCCUGAGUUCAAUCCUCAGUACCA